rnacentral:misc_RNA from 1 species
GAUGAAGAACGUAGUGAAAUGUGAUACUUGGUGUGAAUUGCAGAAUCCCGUGAACCAUCGAGUCUUUGAACGCAAGUUGCGCCCGAAGCCAUUAGGCCGAGGGCACGCCUGCCUGGGCGUCACACGUCGUUGCCCCCCCAUCUAAUCCUUCGGGAUUGCGGGGGGCGGAUGAUGGCCUCCCGUGCGCCUCGUCGCGCGGUUGGCAUAAAUGCCAAGUCCUCGGCGACGCACGCCACGACAAUCGGUGGUUGCGAAACCUCGGUUGCCCGUUGUGUGCGGUCGUCGCGCAUCGAGGGCUCGAAAAAAUUGCCGGGCUCCGGCUCGACUUUCAACGCGACCCCAGGUCAGGCGGGGUUACCCGCUGAAUUUAAGCAUAUCAAUAAGCGGAGGA